rnacentral:rRNA from 1 species
GUGGGGAAUAUUGGACAAUGGGCGCAAGCCUGAUCCAGCCAUGCCGCGUGAGUGAUGAAGGCCUUAGGGUUGUAAAGCUCUUUCAGUGGGGACGAUAAUGACGGUACCCACAGAAGAAGCCCCGGCUAACUUCGUGCCAGCAGCCACGGUAAUACGAAGGGGGCUAGCGUUGUUCGGAUUUACUGGGCGUAAAGCGCACGUAGGCGGAUCGUUAAGUCGGGGGUGAAAUCCUGGAGCUCAACUCCAGAACUGCCUUCGAUACUGGCGAUCUUGAGUCCGGAAGAGGUGAGUGGAACUCCUAGUGUAGAGGUGGAAUUCGUAGAUAUUAGGAAGAACACCAGUGGCGAAGGCGGCUCACUGGUCCGGUACUGACGCUGAGGUGCGAAAGCGUGGGGAGCAAACAGGAUUAGAAACCCGAGUAGUCC